CAGUCUCUACAAAAUGAUUAACAUUAGAAAAGAUGGAUGGAUAGGUAGAAGUUUGACGUCCAGCAGCAAGUAUUACAUGCAUAUUCAUGAACAAAUAUGUAUGUUAGUUUUUGGUUUGACCAGGCCUGGGAUUAGAACCACCACCCCCUACACUAGUUGAGCAUGUUACCUUGAGACCACCAUGGCUGCUCAAAAGAAAGCAGCCUUUUGUAUUCCUUUAGAAGUUCAUCAUUCAAUGUAUAUGAUAGUCAAGAUUUUUGACCAAAAUAAUGUGUUUCUUUUUUAAAUUAAAAAAAUAUUAGAGAAAUUUUUGAGCUAAUUCAUGCAUAUUUAUGGUCAAUUUAAUUCUAGUGAUCACUACAAAAUGAAGUAAUCUAAGAAGUAUAGCUACGACAGAGUGUUCUACAGUUUCUGGAGAAUUAACUUCCAUUUGCAAUAAAAAAAAAAAAAGAAAGAUGUCUUCCUCAAACCACACAAUGAUUUUCUAAAAGAAACAGUUAAACACAGUGUUACAUAGAUAUGACUAGGAUGUGUUGUUAAACAUUUGGUUUAAUUUCAGAGUUUUCUGUACUAAAACUGAUUCCUAGUAGAUUGUUGUUUCUUCUAAGUCACCUGAGAGGUCAAUAAAUAAGUACAAGAUUUUCAAAUAGUUGAAAGUUGGUAUCUCACAAAUGUAAUGAAUCCAUAGUAUAUGUUGGCUAGACUUUUAUUUUAUAUAUCUUGUGAAGUUAAUGCAAGCUAGUUUAAUUUUAAAAGAACAAUUGUUUACACUUUUUAUCAGUCUUUCCCUUGAUUACAAUCGAGCAAUGUUUAUUUAUUUACUUAUUGAGGUAUAAUUUUGUUCAAUUGGUUUUUAGUUUAGUUUCCUCAACAAGAAUAUGAUGAAUUUCAAUGUACAGUUUCACAAAAGUCUGGAUUUCAACAAAUUGUAAAAUUCUUUCUUAAGUUUUAGAAAGAGUUAUAAUAGAUUCUAAGUUUAAAAUGAUUGGUAGAUGCAUGACUCUUCAGGUCAACUAGAUAAAAUACACAUUGACUUGUUUAGAAACAAAUUUGAAAGCAAGCCAAGUAAGAUAUUCUGCAUGGAAAAGUUCCAUAUUUUCUGAUAAAAUAAUAAUGUUUUUUUUUCCAUUUUUUCUCACCUCAUUUUACUGGUAAAUUCCAUGUUUAAGAGAAUAAUUACUGGGUAUGCUCAAACUCUACAACAAAAAUGUCCAAGGAGAAUAUGCAUGAUUAUAUUGUACAUGUGACAUAAAAUUUAAUAUUCAACAAAAUUCCUUCAAUACAAAAUAAUGAGCAAUUAUUACAAUUAUUUAUGGCAAUAUAGUAUAAAAAGACAAAAGAACAAACAAAAUAAAUAACACAUCAUGUGAUCAUAGUUAAAUAUUAGUGUAAUGUAAUUGUUAUAUUGAAUGAACUACUCCAUAAACGGGAUUACCAUGCAUGAUUUUCUUUUCUUUCUUCUCUGCAAAC
rnacentral:lncRNA from 1 species